GCAAAGAAAGCUAAUCUAGCAAUAUGGUUUCGGCCCAUACAAAGAACUUAAAUUCUCUUUGCU
rnacentral:tRNA from 1 species